GAGGGUGACGAUCAGUUUAUAAAUGACGAUAAGAUAGAAAAAGAUACAUUAGUCAAUUAUUGUAAUUCGAAGGAGGACCUAUAAAUCGAGGAGGAUAUGGAUAUUGAUGAGUAGAUCUAUAUUCUUUGUUGAAUCUUUUCUUGCAAUAAUGGUAUGCAAUACAAUUUUAUUCAUUAGUAUUUAUAUAUUUUUUAAUAUUAUUAUUCAUUAUUAUAUUCAUUUAUAUAUCAAGUUAGUUAUAUACAUGGUUUAAGCAUUACAGGUAUGGCACC
rnacentral:lncRNA from 1 species